GACAGAGGGGGCAAGCGUUGCUCGGAAUCACUGGGCGUAAAGGGCGCGUAGGCGGGAUGGCAAGUCGGUCGUGAAAUCCUUCGGCUCAACCGAAGAACGUCGGCCGAUACUGCCGUUCUUGAGGGAUGCAGAGGAGAUUGGAAUUCCCGGUGUAGCGGUGAAAUGUGUAGAGAUCGGGAGGAACACCGGUGGCGAAGGCGGGUCUCUGGGCAUCUCCUGACGCUGAGGCGCGAAAGCUAGGGGAGCAAACAGG
rnacentral:rRNA from 1 species